rnacentral:rRNA from 1 species
AGUUCGGAUUGAAGGCUGAAAUUCGCCUUCAUGAAGCUGGAAUUGCUAGUAAUGGCAGGUCAGCAUACUGCCGUGAAUACGUUCCCGGGCCUUGUACACACCGCCCGUCACACCAUGAGAGUUGGGAAUACCCGAAGCCUGUGAGCUAACUGUAAGGAGGCAGCAGUCGAAGGUAGAAUCAAUGAUUGGGGUGAAGUCGUAACAAGGUACC